rnacentral:rRNA from 1 species
GACGAACGCUGGCGGCGCGCCUAACACAUGCAAGUCGAACGAGCGAGAGAGAGCUUGCUUUCUCGAGCGAGUGGCGAACGGGUGAGUAACGCGUGAGGAACCUGCCUCAAAGAGGGGGACAACAGUUGGAAACGACUGCUAAUACCGCAUAAGCCCACGACCCGGCAUCGGGUUGAGGGAAAAGGAGCAAUCCGCUUUGAGAUGGCCUCGCGUCCGAUUAGCUAGUUGGUGAGGUAAUGGCCCACCAAGGCGACGAUCGGUAGCCGGACUGAGAGGUUGAACGGCCACAUUGGGACUGAGACACGGCCCAGACUCCUACGGGAGGCAGCAGUGGGGAAUAUUGCACAAUGGGGGAAACCCUGAUGCAGCGACGCCGCGUGGAGGAAGAAGGUCUUCGGAUUGUAAACUCCUGUUGUUGAGGAAGAUAAUGACGGUACUC